UACAGAGGGUGCGAGCGUUGUCCGGAAUCACUGGGCGUAAAGGGCGCGUAGGUGGUGGCUUAAGCGUGCGGUGAAAGCUCGGGGGCUCAACCCCGAGUCGGCCGUGCGAACUGGGCUCACUGGAGCAUAGUAGAGGCAGGUGGAAUUCCGGGUGUAGCGGUGGAAUGCGUAGAGAUCCGGAAGAACACCGGUGGCGAAGGCGGGUCUCUGGGGCAAUAACUGAACGCUGAGGAGCGAAAAGCGUGGGGGAGCGAACAGG
rnacentral:rRNA from 1 species